rnacentral:lncRNA from 1 species
AUGUGUCCAAGCUCAUGGGAAAUGAGUAAAGAAGUCCAGCAAAGCUCUCCUGGGUUUAAGGAGAGAGAGUAACCAUCAGAAAAGGUAUUGAGGGUUGCUACAUGAGGUGAAGCUACCUGGGGCAUGGGAGAAUUGAUACAUUCGUCUAUUAAAAUACCUUCCUUUCUCCUUCAUCAUCUUCUUCCCUGUGUCUCCAGAUCCUCAUGUGUGGAGAAUUACUGAACUGCUACUUCCAGAAUUACAGUAGCUAAACUAAGAGAAACACAGAACCUUUAGAAAAGAAUGCUACACCCAUGUUUCUAAAAGCUUUGAACAUUACAAAGAGCCGUGGUGCUUUCAAAAGCACUCCCACCAACAAAUAGCACACAAAAGAAUAUACACUCUACAGUGAGGGGCAGAUGCUCCUUUGUAGAGUAAAUCUUAUGAUUGGAGAGAGAAACCAGGAAAAAUGUGCAGGAAGUCACUGAGACUCUAUCCAUCCUCUGCUGCCAAGACAAGCAAAGGCAAGAUGUCAAUGGGCCUUAGCCUUGCCCUUCCCAUCCUGAAGGUGUGACCCUGUAAUGCACACCCCAGCAGUCUGCAGGAUGUCAUUGACAAGAGCACCUUGUUAUGCAGUGUGCUUAGAGUCUUUCGAAGGGCUGGGAUUUUGGAGCUCAGAAAGAUGAUCUUCACCACGGCUGUGCCAGCGUGUGUCCUACUAAUCCACUCAGGUCUCACUGGAGGCAGCCCCCAGAUGGAAUUCUUCUCCAAGAUGUUAGCCACAGUUGGGCAGCAUGUGGUUCUGCCCUGCCGGUACACCACUGAGGACAGUUACAGGACUUUGAAUUUCUUUUGGUACUGCCAGCAUCUGGGAAGUUCCUUCAAAUAUGUCCUGGAAGCAUUUGGAUCUUCAGGGGAUAAUAAGUUUUGUGAUCACCAAUUUUCUGCGAUGGUCUAUGAAAAUAAAACAGCUCCCUUAGAAAUAGCAAAUGUUUCUUUCCAAGACACUGCAGUUUAUUAUUGUGGUGUGAAACACCAUGGUGAGUUAAACCCUGUUUUCACUCAUGCAAAAUCUGCAUCACCAAAAACAGCACCGGAGAAAAAGCUCUGCAAAAUCUACAUUGGCAGUGCUUUCAUCCCUGAAAUAAUUCUCUUCUUGACAUAAGAACAGUUCCAACAUCUUCUCCCACCCCAACACUUCUCUACAUUUCUUGAAGACCCCAUCUGUGCAGAGGUUCAGACUAGGGACUACAGGACAGUUUGCAGAUAAGCCAACAACACUCAUAGCUUCCCCCAUGUCCCACUUCAAGUAGGGCAGCUGGGGCGGUGCCCCUGGCCAGGUGCUUUGGAAGGAGAGAGGAGAUUGGCGUCUAUGUCUGUCCUAGACCAGGGAUGGUGGAGUGGUUGGGGAAUGUUAUCCCCUCCCCUCUGUGUGCUCACUGCCCAGCUUCUCAUAGCUCCUCAUGUUCUCUGUCUGCAGGGGUGUGAGCACAACUGAGUUGUUGAGGCUGGUGGUGGUCAGCAAGCACCUGGGGGACUCUGUGCUCCUUUCCUGCCAGAGAUAUGGCUUCACCUUGAUAAAUCAUCAUUUUUGGUAGUACCACCAGGCACUCAGUGGCAGUCUCGAGAGCAUCUCUUAUAUCAGCUAUAAUUCUUCAACCAUUCAAUACUUGCUGGGAGUAAAAGGCAGAGCCAUGGCUUCCAAGGACAAUUCUCAGUCCGUGGUAUCUCUGCUUUUGUGUGCCCUGCACCCUGAGGACUUGCUACUUUUGCCUGGUUCGCACAGCCACGGGAAAUACAACUGGAUUUCAAUAAAAAUCUGAUUCCAUGCCAGAGGAAGUAGCAGUCCUCAGCCUUACCCCACAACGCCUCUAGGAGUCGUCGUGGUUUAACCUGACAGGCAGCUAUAGAAUUCUUGGGUUGAAAUAAAAAGAGUGCAUGCUGUCAAAGCAAAAUAAACUAAAAUAAUUGACUAUUCAUCAGCAGGUAGAUAUUCCACCAUUUCUAGGAAAGCAAGGCUUCGUUAUGCCAUACAAAUGCCAUAGCUCUGAAUGUCCCCCUUUCUUCCAUCUUGUUCUUUCUUCAGAUUUUAUUAUUGAACAUGGCAUUAUACGCUGUGGAAUGUUUCUUUGGUCAUUUGGAGUCACGUUUUGGGCUUACGUGGCAAGGUUUUAGUAAAGAGUGUAACUGCAGAGAUGGCCCCUGUGAGGACGGUCCAGAAGUUGUCCCAUGUUAGGGAAGAGCCAGUUCCAGUCAGCUGAGAAAGGGACCUGCUGCUGACC